AAAUAAGAAGUAAUUUAUUACAUUUAGUUUCGACCUAAAAAACAGGUUUAUAUAAACCCUUAUUUU
rnacentral:tRNA from 1 species